ACGUCUCAGGUUUCAGAUUUUUCCCGUGCUGUUGUUUUCUAAGGGUUUUUUUGGGGGGGGGGUUCCAGUGCCCUUAAAAUUCAAGGCCCAGUGUGAGUACUGCUCUUCUGGCUCAUGCCUUAAUAACUGAGUGACUUUAGGUACUCCUCUCUGCCCCUGAGUAGCCCGGGGCCACCACCUCAAGUACUUUUGCUCCCUGUGGUCCUACUGGAAAGCGUCAGCUCGCCCUUUGCCCCAGAACGAAAACCAGGGAUUCUGCUCUCCUGGGAGAGCAGCCUGCGCCCCCGCCUACACACUCCCAGCGCAUGCUCACUCCUCCUCCCUGCAGCUUAGAACCGUGUCUGGUCAGUUUGAGGGGCCUCCCCCAUCCAUCGCCACGCCCCCCCCAAUCCCUGGGGUGAAAGCUCUGGAAGCUGAGGCUGCAUCCCACACAGCUGCCCCCAGGCCUCCCUGUUUGUUCAUUUGGUGGAAUCUGCCCCCAAGCGUCAGACCUCCUCCUGGAGAAGUCAGAGCUUUCCCAACGUCCUCCCAAAUUCUCUCAGAUUCAACUCCUGCUUUACCCCGACUUUACAUUAUUUCUGCCACACUAAGAUUCAUUUCGGGGGGUGUUAUCUAAAGUUAUUGGGCAGGAAUUGGGGAGAGACGGGCAACUUCCCGACUUAUUCCGCCAUCUUCCCACAAUUUCUCCUAAGUCUUGUCCCAGGCUACUUUCAUGUUUAUCUUUGUUUCCACGGGGACCAGAACAAGAUGCAGAAUGGCAAGUUAUCUGGAUCUUGUAGUCUUGAAGGACUGACUGUAUCACUUUGAGAUUUGGACGGAAUAUAUGUAGAAGCGAUCUGCACCAGAGGCAACUCAAUGGCAUGGUGGUGCACACCUGUUUCCAGGAAGGCUGAGGCUGGUAGAUGUCUUCAUCUGGGGAGUUCCAAGCCGCAGUGGGCCCUUCUUAGAUUAUCAAAUAUCUAUAAGAAAGGGCAUCAAUAUGAUUGAUGAGUUUCAGGAAAUCGUGAAAUUUAGGAGAGCAGCUGAAUGGGAAAUGGCAUGGACCUGACCUGGAUGAAGAAGAUACAGCCAAGGAGACCGCGAAGGAGGGGGUCACCCAGAUGAAGAAGAUGAUGAAAGUCUAAGGCAGAGAAGUCACAGAAGCUCAGUUAGCAGGCACCUCAGAGGCUACGUAGACCUCUUUCCCUACUUUGACCUGACCAAGAAUCCUUCUACAUCGAACCCAACAAGGCAUGUUCCAACCUGAGCUUGAAGAUCUCUAAAGCCUCCCAAACACUGAGCUAGCUCUGAUAAUGAGUGCAUCAACAAUAUCAUCUAUGUAUACAUCGUUGGAAAGUAUACUGUCGAGGCAAGUGACUUAUGGCCACUGGGCUUUAGUUUCGAACUAGAGGCCCUAGGACCUGUAAGGCCCGAUCUGAGAUCUGAGGCCGGGAAGAGCAGUCAGGAGGCCGCCAUCCAGGUGAGAGGUGAGGAGGGCAGCUCUUUGGGAAGGCUCCAGCUAACGGUUCUCUUUCCAUUAGCUGUCUUGGGGGAGGGGGGUGGCUCAGCGGGUCCGGGACAACAGCCCUUUAACCGGCGCUGGACGGCAAGGCCGCGGCAGCCCCGGCCCCGGCAUCUACCGCCUGGCCGGGGCCAUGACCGUGACCCCAAAGUCAGACAGACCCCGCCCAACAGGGCGUCGCCCUGACUUCCCGUCGACCCGCCCCGCCGAAGGAGGCGGAACUUCCCCUCCCGGAAGUGAUCCCGGAGCAUCAGGGGAACUGGGACCCCUCUGUCUGUGUGUCAGGGAAACCCUUCCGGGCGUGGGGGAGGACUGGCCGGGCUAGGGCAGGGCCGGCGGAGCCACGACGGAGCUGAGGCAGGUGGGCUCGGCCCGAGCGACUGAGCGCUAGAGCCGCCGCACCGCGCCGCCCGGGGCUGGGGCCGGGGCCGUCUCUGCCGCCGCCGGUCGGCCCCCUCCCCACCCCCUCCCCCUGCCCGCCCCUCCUCUCCCUCCUUCCCUGCCUUCCUCUCUCACUCUUUUUCACCCUGCCCCUCUGCCAGACCUGACCGGACCCUAGGCGGCGGCG